GGUCGAGGGCGAGCUGACGGAGCAGACCGCGUGGGGGAAGAAGGCUCUUGGGUUGUAAACCCCUUUUCUCUGGGAAGAAAGUUGUGAAAGCAACCUGACGGUACCAGAGGAAUCAGCAUCGGCUAACUCCGUGCCAGCAGCCGCGGUAAGACGGAGGAUGCAAGCGUUAUCCGGAAUGAUUGGGCGUAAAGCGUCCGCAGGUGGCAGUUCAAGUCUGCUGUCAAAGACCGGGGCUUAACUUCGGAAAGGCAGUGGAAACUGAACAGCUAGAGUAUGGUAGGGGCAGAGGGAAUUCCUGGUGUAGCGGUGAAAUGCGUAGAGAUCAGGAAGAACAUCGGUGGCGAAGGCGCUCUGCUGGACCAUAACUGACACUCAGGGACGAAAGCUAGGGGAGCGAAUGGGAUUAGAUACCCCAGUAGUCCUAGCCGUAAACGAUGGAUACUAGGUGUUGUCUGUAUCGACCCGGACAGUGCCGUAGCUAACGCGUUAAGUAUCCCGCCUGGGGAGUACGCACGCAAGUGUGAAACUCAAAGGAAAUUGACGG
rnacentral:rRNA from 1 species